rnacentral:rRNA from 1 species
UUGACCUCGGAUCAGGUAGGAAUACCCGCUGAACUUAUCCUUUUCUAUUUUCCGGAAG